GGCGGGGAGGCAGUGGGGCCGGAGACCGCGCCAGUUCCGCAAGUCCUGGGGCUCGGAGGCCUCCCAGCCGCGAGGCCGCUUCCCCACGCAGUCGAGGACUGCCUGGGGCCGGGAGGCGGCAGGGGCAGCGGCUGCCCAGGCCUCCAGCGGCCACCGCCUCCUCCGCCCCUCCGGCCGCGGGCCCGCGCCUCGUGCGAUGCUCGGGCGGCCCGGGGCGCUGGGCUAGGGCACUGCAGCCGGGAGCCGCAUCCACCCGCGGGGCCAGCCGCGGCCGCCCCGCCGCCCCCGCCUCGCCGAGCUCGGGAAGGUGCACCCGGGAGGCACGGGGGCGGUCGCGGCGGCGGGAGGUGCCGCUCCCGGGGGCGGGGGGCGGGGGGCGGAGGGCGGCGGCGGGGACGGCGAGGGGGCGAGCGCCGGGGUCCCGGGCCGGGAGCGCGUCCGUGUCGCCCGCCGCCCGGCUGGGGCUGGGGAGGGUCCGGGGCGCCCACGUGGUGGGAAAGUUUCGAGACAGCAAAAGUGGCCGGCAUUGCGGGGCGGGGGGAGGGGACGGCCGGCUCGCCCCUCCUUCCGCGGAGGCAGAAAGGAGAAAGCGGGGGGAAGCGGGGGUGGGCGUGGGGAGCGGGCGGCAGCGGCUUGAACGGAUUCCGCCCCCCCGGGCGGGGGAAGCCGGAGCGAGGAGGCGCGGACGGGCCCCUCCCGCACGGUCAGGACGAGACUCGCUCACCCCCCCCCCUUUUUUUUAUGCCAACGUCUAUCUCAACGCGCGCGCACAUACGGAGAUUGUGCGGCUUUUUUUCCCCCUUGGGAGCAAAAACGAGGAGAGUAAAAGAAGAGAGGGCAAAGAGAAGAAGUCCUCGGCAGCUCCGCACCGCGUCGCGGCCGCCACCCUCCGGCUCUCCCCGGCCCUGCGGAGCGCCCGCGGGAGAGGAGCCGGGGCCCCCGCACCGGGGACGCUGCGAGACUUUUAGGCGCUCGAAGCGAGCUCGCCCCGCCGCCGCCGCCGCCGCCGCCGCCGCCGCCGCCGCAGAGGCAGGGCGAGGAGGGCCCGGCCUCCGCCUCGCCUUCCCAGCCGGCGCCCCGCGCCCCGCCGGCCCGCGCAGCCGGGCGGAGGGAGGGAGGCGGCCGGCGAGAAGGCGGCGGAGCGAGGCCCCCGGAGCGCGCAGCGGCCCGCCCGCCCGCCGGUGGAUGCGGCGCCCCGGGAGCCUGGGCACAACUUUGCCGUGUGACGCGCCGCGAGGACUGCAGGGCCCGCGGCCGGGGGCUCCGCGCCGCCUCUGA
rnacentral:lncRNA from 1 species